rnacentral:ncRNA from 2 species
UGCUGACCCCUAGUCCAGUGC